rnacentral:tRNA from 1 species
UGCCCCAUGGCUGAGUUGGUUACAGCGUCCGACUGUUAUAUCAAACAUUCCUGUAUGAAUGAAUGAAUUAUCCAUUCAUGUGUAUCGGAAGGUCGAGAGUUCGAGCCUCUCUGGAGCAG